rnacentral:rRNA from 1 species
UCUCCUUUCUCCAAUCAAUGAAACUGAUCUUCCCGUGAAGAAGCGGGAAUUGACUUAUAAGACGAGAAGACCCCAUGGAGCUUUAAACCCAAUUACAUCCUUAUAUCUUACUUCCUUAUAACCUCUAAGGUAUUGUACAUCUGGUUUUAGGUUGGGGUGACCACGGAGCAUAAACAAGCCUCCAUGAUGAAUGGAAUUAUUCCCUUAUCCAAGAAUUACACUUCUAAGAAUUAACAUUUUAACAUUUAAUGAUCCAAUAAUUGAUCAACGAACCAAGUUACCCUGGGGAUAACAGCGCAAUCCAUUUCAAGAGCUCCUAUCGACAAAUGGGUU